rnacentral:rRNA from 1 species
AUUGAACGCUGGCGGCAUGCCUUACACAUGCAAGUCGAACGGCAGCACGGGAGCAAUCCUGGUGGCGAGUGGCGAACGGGUGAGUAAUAUAUCGGAACGUGCCCAGUCGUGGGGGAUAACGUAGCGAAAGCUACGCUAAUACCGCAUACGAUCUAUGGAUGAAAGCGGGGGAUCGCAAGACCUCGCGCGAUUGGAGCGGCCGAUAUCAGAUUAGGUAGUUGGUGUGGUAAAGGCUCACCAAGCCGACGAUCUGUAGCUGGUCUGAGAGGACGACCAGCCACACUGGGACUGAGACACGGCCCAGACUCCUACGGGAGGCAGCAGUGGGGAAUUUUGGACAAUGGGCGCAAGCCUGAUCCAGCAAUGCCGCGUGCAGGAUGAAGGCCUUCGGGUUGUAAACUGCUUUUGUACGGAGCGAAAAGGCUUCCACUAAUACUGGGGGCUAAUGACGGUACCGUAAGAAUAAGCACCGGCUAACUCCGUGCCAGCCGCCGCGGUAAGAC